CCUGGGCAAGAAUUGUAAAGCUGUGAACACGACCAUACUGAAUCCGCACGUGCACCUCCUGGGCGACGACGCCGCUUGCAUCGCCUAUGUGCGACUGACGCAGUACAUCGAUAAACAAGGGCAAGCGCACAGCCAACAGUCGGAAGAAACGCGAGUGUGGCAUAAACGUGACAGUAAAUGGCAGAACGUACAUUUUCACCGCAGCGGAACGGGAUCCUCCGGAACGGGACAGUUUGACUAUGCCCAUAAGUAAACUCCGGUUGCUACCAUAAGGUUUCGAUGUUGAAUCCCAGGUUGUGUGUAACCUGAAAGGAAACAGUGGUGAUGUCUAUUUUCACUGGAUAAUAUAGAUCAAUAGUUUGCAAGUAAAAAUAGCAGGCAAUUAGAGGAAGAC